rnacentral:rRNA from 1 species
UACGUAGGGUGCAAGCGUUGUCCGGAAUUAUUGGGCGUAAAGAGCUCGUAGGCGGUUUGUCGCGUCGAAUGUGAAAACCCAGGGCUCAACCCCGGGCCUGCAUUCGAUACGGGCAGACUAGAGUUCGGUAGGGGGAGUCUGGAAUUCCUGGUGUAGCGGUGAAAUGCGUACGAUAUCAGGAGGAACACCGGUGGCGAAGGGCGGG